GUAAAUUUAGACAAGUCUGAAAUACCAGGAAUGCUGAGUUUGACCUGGGCUUUCUUGGAGGCCUCACUGCUAUGUCUGAAAGCAUGUUUAUUGCUGUUCUUCAUCAUUACUCAACAUUAAAGUUGACGCACUCAGGCUGGAGUCUGGAUUUUCAGGACUUGAAGCACACGAACAGGCUACCAUGGUCUGCUGAAGUCUGAAACCGCUGCUGAAGCUUCAGUGGCCUGUGGUUCUGGUACUACGUGCUCUUAAAGAGUGUUGUCUUCCUCCUCUCUCGUUCAGGUAUUCCUUUAAGCUCAUAAGCUCUUGCCUGUGUCCGAGAAUCCCGUUUCCCUCACCGGUGUGAGUAACGCUGCCGCCUGCACAAAGUUCUCUGCUGUUUGCUCAAACAAAGACACAGUAUCCCUAUUUAUUUUUUUUUGCCUUGUAGUUCAUUUUACACUUGGACAAUAUACCGUAGAACUUCGUGUUUAAAAACACAGUUCUGUCGGCAGCCUUGA
rnacentral:lncRNA from 1 species